UAAUGUAAAUCAAUACACACUCUGACAGAAAGGCAAAACAGAGAGGAGUGUCCUUAAUUCUGCCUGGGGUUUAAGAAUCAGGGCAGAUUUCACAGAGGAGGCAACAGCUGACCAGAGCGCUCAAUUUCCUAGUUAAAACAGAGCCAAACAGAGGAUGAUCAGAACUAUCGCUUUAAUUAAAAAAAAAAAAUCAGAAUAAAUGUGAAACACCUGGGAUUUUUAUUUCUGUUCAGAACUGUAGAAAAAUAAGGGUGAUGAUGAUGACAGUGGUGUUGAUGGAUGUUACCGGUUACCGACCCAGCAUCUGGCUGGGUCCGCUUCCCCUUUCCUGGCUAGCACCUUAAUUUUCCUUCUGCUGCUUAAGCCUCUUCUGAACUGUAGCAACCACGUGGUUUUGGAGGUUGACCCCAGCUCAGGUGUGAGCUGUAAUUAAUCUAAGUCAGUUAACAAACUCCCAUCCCCCUGCCAGUGGUUGGCUUAAGAACACAAACCUGUAGUAAACAGAGUGGGGCGUUCUCUGUUCGCAGAGAUAGGUUCAGGAAAGGGCACAAGACUAUAUUUGGGCCAAUGAAAUGUAAGGGCAGUUUUGAAAAGGGGAUUCUGGGAAACUUUUCCUUAGUCUUAGAGGAAAACCUUAGGGGGGCUCUCUGUUGCUGGCCUAGGAAUACGGCUGACAUCUGAUUCCCAGCCUGAAGAUGAAGCUGGUUACUCAGAAACAUUCCUCACCCCUCCUCCUGCUCCAGGAAUCACAGGGCAGUGGAGACAGAGCCGUCGAGUGAACUAAAUUUGAAAACCUGCCUGACUUACGGAUUUCCAGAUUUUUACUUCUUAGCGGGAGCGCCGUGCUUGGCUCUGUGGCUUGAGCCAGUAGCGCUGAGUCCACCAGGAGUCAAGUUCAUAGAUUCACUGAGAACCUACCAUCUGCUUGGUCACUUUGUACCUGAGGUCCACCUGGCUCUUUCUCCACUAAACAUCCUGCACGGUUUUCAGCAUUCACUUCUCUAGAGAUUCCUCUGGCUGCUGUGAAGACGGUAGGCAAGGGAGCCCACUUAGAAGCCCAGCGUGGUGGUACAGAUGUAUUAUAUGCAGGUCCAAAUGGUGAAGAGUGCAUAGAGGAAUUAGGGGUGGGAUCUAAUACACAAGAAGAGAGAUCCCGGUGUCCUGAGGGGCAGUGCCCAGCCCCCUGCCUUCCAUGUGCCUGCACACCUUCAGCCCUCCGAGGGAGACCCGUGUGGAAAAGGAUGACAUCGAGCAAAGAGCAUAGGUGUGGGAAGUCCCUCUCUCUACAGCACUACAGCACAUCGCCGGCUGCUCUUGGCUCCCAAGUUUGAGAGCAGGAAGACUUGCUUCAGAUGGCUGGCACUGCUUUCCCUAGCCCUGCCUCA